GCCUUCGUGGCGUAGUGGUCAGCACGCUCGACGCGUAACCGAGAGGUCUGAUUCCCGUGGUUCGAUUCCCGGCGAAGGCG
rnacentral:tRNA from 1 species